rnacentral:tRNA from 1 species
CGUUCUGUGGCUUAGUUGGGUAAAGUGCCGGUUUGUCAAAUACGGAGUCGUGGGUUCGAAUCCCACCAGAAUGU